rfam:Cucumis sativus cultivar 9930 chromosome 6, whole genome shotgun sequence.
CUAAUGCCUGUGAUGGUGUUAAAUAUACUUUGAGAUGACUUUCUGUGAAAAAUUUUUGAUCUGAGGCACCAU